ensembl:snRNA U6 U6 spliceosomal RNA
AUGCUCACCUCAGCAGCUCAAAUACUAAAAGUGGAAAGAUACAGAGAAGAGUAGCGUGGCCCCUGUGCAAGGAUGGCUUCCAUACAUUAUAAAAGACAAAACCCAUUU